AUUGAACGCUGGCGGCAGGCCUAACACAUGCAAGUCGAGCGGAUGAAGGGAGCUUGCUCCUGGAUUCAGCGGCGGACGGGUGAGUAAUGCCUAGGAAUCUGCCAGGUAGUGGGGGAUAACGUCCGGAAACGGGCGCUAAUACCGCAUACGUCCUGAGGGAGAAAGUGGGGGAUCUUCGGACCUCACGCCAUCAGAUGAGCCUAGGUCUGAUUAGCGAGUUGGUGGGGUAAAGGCCUACCAAGGCGACGAGCCGUAACUGGUCUGAGAGGAUGAUCAGUCACACUGUAAGUGAGACACGUUCCAGACUCCUACAGGAGGCAGCAGCGCGGACUAUUGGACGAUGGGCGAGAGCCUGAUCCUGCCAUGCCGCGUCUGUCCAGAAGGUCUUCGGAUUGUAAAGCACUUUAGGUUUGGGGGAAGGGCAGUAACUUAAUACGCUGCUGUCUUGACGUUACCUACAGAAUAAGCACCGGCUAACUUCGUG
rnacentral:rRNA from 1 species